AGUGUUUGUUCUUUAAGUGCCACCAAGAUGUGGCACUUGAUUUGCGGAGAGUCUGAUCCAUCAUCCUUCCGGGAAGCCAGAUGGUUGCAAUGCUUCAUAAUGGGAUUGGGACUUUCACUGGAAACCUGCUGCUGGGAAUCUCUCAAAAGACUUGAAAUGGCUAAAGAUCAGCCCAGAUUAUCUAUUUGCAAUAAAGAUUCAAGCAACGGACCAGAGUCACUGGAUGCUUCCAAUCUCUGCAAACCCACUAUGGUCAUGCUGGAAGAAACAGUUCGGGAAGAUUGCAUGCUCUGAACUCGGAGAAUGUUCCUCCUUCGGCUUGCAGUGCAGAAGACAAGAUGCUCAUGAAUCACCCAGCCAUGUCCUUCAACUUGCAAGCCCAAACAACCAGCAGGGCUGGAUGAUGGGUGCCAUAGUUCGAAAAAAGGAUGUGUAUGGAUGAUGGGCUCUGAAGUCUGAAAAAGGGGGUAUGUUGGUGAUGGGAUCUCAGUUGGAAGAAAGGGGCUGUGGAUGAUGGAUGCUGCUGCCUUGGUUUGAAAGAAUCCUGGGCAUCUCAGCCUCAGAACGUUGGAGAACCUGGAGAAGAUGCUGGCCAAUCAGAGGCCGCCUCCGCCCUCCUCGGCUUCCGAUUGGCUGCGACGCACCGCGGCUAGACAAUAAAAGGGAGAACCGGCGGCUCUGCUUCUGCAUUCGCUUUGUGCAGCUGCAGCGCGAUCGUACCGGAUAAAAAGAAGGCAAAACCUCGGAGGUGCCGCCGCCGCCUUGUUCCUUUCUUGUGAACCUGGGAAACGACGACCUUGCAAGGUAGGCGAUUGCUUGGUUCAUCUCCCCACUUUGGUUUUGCUCCUGAGCAAUUAUUACUAAUAUUAUUAAUUAAUUAAUUAUACUUUUAUUCCUCUUUUCUCCUGAUAUAGGCUGCUAACAGGAAAUUUAAAACAGUACUGUACAAGUUAAAAACCAAUACCAAAGCAUUAAAAUGUUGGUAUAAAAAACCCCAUUAAACCAUUUUAAUAAGCUCAAAAUAAAAAAAAAUAACAGCCUCGUCUUCUUGGCUUCUCCCUGUAUAUAGGGUUUUUGGGGGUAACUGGUGUUUAGGAGGGGCUCUUUGUACCAAUUCCAAGAUAUAUAGCUGUGUUAGUCUUUAGAAGUGGUAUGUAGAGAGAU